rnacentral:rRNA from 1 species
UACGUAGGGUGCGAGCGUUAAUCGGAAUUACUGGGCGGAAAGCGUGCGCAGGCGGUGAUGUAAGACCGAUGUGAAAUCCCCGGGCUUAACCUGGGAACUGCAUUGGUGACUGCAUUGCUGGAGUAUGGCAGAGGGGGGUGGAAUUCCACGUGUAGCAGUGAAAUGCGUAGAGAUGUGGAGGAACACCGAUGGCGAAGCCAGCCCCCUGGGCCAAUACUGACGCUCAUGCCCGAAAGCGUGGGGAGCAAACAGG